GACGAGCGCUGGCGGCGUGCUUAACACAUGCAAGUCGAGCGGUAAGGCCCCUUCGGGGGUACACGAGCGGCGAACGGGUGAGUAACACGUGAGCAAUCUGCCCUUCACACGGGGAUAACUUCGGGAAACCGGAGCUAAUACCCGAUACGACCACCUCGGGCAUCCGAUGGUGGUGGAAAGCUCCGGCGGUGAGGGAUGAGCUCGCGGCCUAUCAGCUUGUUGGUGGGGUAACGGCCCACCAAGGCAACGACGGGUAGCCGGCCUGAGAGGGUGAUCGGACACACUGGGACUGAGACACGGCCCAGACUCCUACGGGAGGCAGCAGUGGGGAAUAUUGGACAAGGGGCGAAAGCCUGAUCCAGCAACGCCGCGUGAGGGAUGACGGCCUUCGGGUUGUAAACCUCUUUCAGCAGGGACGAAGCGCAAGUGACGGUACCUGCAGAGGAAGCACCGGCCAACUACGUGCCAGCCGCCGCCGUAA
rnacentral:rRNA from 1 species